rnacentral:misc_RNA from 1 species
AAGAGAGUCUUCACUAAUGGAAGAGGUACUUCUCAUUGGGAGAUCACAGCGUCAGAUCAUGCAUCAGAUGGACAAUCUGAGCAAUAUCCUCCGUGAGCUCAAUGGAUCUCGCCUAGGGAGAACGGAUAGGACCGAGGGGAUGGCUGAAGUUGUUGAAUGGAUUGGUGUUCCUCUGCUUCUUACCCUUGCUGUUGGCGGUGUAGGUAUCUUCUUGUUCAGGACCUUAUCUCAAAAAUAACUGAAUCGGCUAUGGCUACUGAAAAAGUUAACUAUGCUCGUUCAGGACCUUGUCUCAAAAAUAACUGAACCAACUAUGGCUAAUGAAACAGUUAACUACGUAGAAGAUGUACAUAUAUUAAUAGAAAAUUUUAACAGUGUAGAUGCAUGUUUCUAGCCUUGGUAUGUU